UUUCCGUAGGUGAACCUGCGGAAGGAUCAUUAUUGGAUUUUGAACCUUCAGGCUGCUGCUGGCUCUCCUCGGAGGGCAUGUGCACGCUUGUUGUCCAUUAUUUCUCCCACUGUGCACAAAUUGUAGACCUUUCAGUAGGCCUAUGUUGUUUUUCACAAUCUCUGAAUGUAAUAGAAUGGUUUUGAAUCUUGGGAAAUACAAUACAACUUUCAGCAACGGAUCUCUUGGCUCUC
rnacentral:misc_RNA from 1 species